AUUGAACGCUGGCGGCAGGCUUAACACAUGCAAGUCGAGCGAGCGGCGGACGGGUGAGUAAUGUCUGGGAAACUGCCUGAUGGAGGGGGAUAACUACUGGAAACGGUAGCUAAUACCGCAUACCAUCAGAUGUGCCCAGAUGGGAUUAGCUAGUAGGUGGGGUAAUGGCUCACCUAGGCGACGAUCCCCAGCUGGUCUGAGAGGAUGACCAGCAACACUGAAAAUGAGCAACGUUCCAGACUCCUACGGGAGCCACCAGUGGGGAAUAUUGCACAAUGGGCGCAAGCCUGAUGCCGCCAUGCCGUGGGUGUGAAGAAGGCCUUCGGGUUGUAAAGCACUUUCAGCGAGGAGGCGUUACUCGCAGAAGAAGCACCGGCUAACUCCGUGCCAGCAGCCGCGGUAAUAC
rnacentral:rRNA from 1 species